AUCGAACGCUGGCGGCAGGCCUAACACAUGCAAGUCGAACGAGUGGCGGACGGGUGAGUAAUGUCUGGGAAACUGCCCGAUGGAGGGGUAUAACUACUGGAAACGGUAGCUAAUACCGCAUACCAUCGGAUGUGCCCAGAUGGGAUUAGCUAGUAGGUGGGGUAACGGCUAACCUAGGCGACGAUCCCUAGCUGGUCUGAGAGGAGGACCAGCCACACUGGAACUGAGACACGGUCCAGACUCCUACGGGAGGCAGCAGUGGGGAAUAUUGCACAAUGGGCGAAAGCCUGAUAGAGCCAUGCCGCGUGUAUGAAGAAGGCCUUCGGGUUGUAAAGUACUUUUAGCGAGGAGGCGGUACCUGAAGAAGAAGCAACGGCUAACUCCGUGCCAGCAGCCGCGAUAAUUC
rnacentral:rRNA from 1 species